rnacentral:rRNA from 1 species
UACGUAGGGUGCGAGCGUUAAUCGGAAUUACUGGGCGUAAAGCGUGCGCAGGCGGUUUUGUAAGACAGGUGUGAAAUCCCCGGGCUUAACCUGGGAACUGCAUUUGUGACUGCAAGACUAGAGUGUGGCAGAGGGGGGUAGAAUUCCACGUGUAGCAGUGAAAUGCGUAGAUAUGUGGAGGAAUACCGAUGGCGAAGGCAGCCCCCUGGGCCUGUACUGACGCUCAUGCACGAAAGCGUGGGGAGCAAACAGG